CAGUGCCUUGGAAUCCGAUGUGUUUGUUCUGCAUUGGUAAGUUUAUAAUUCAAUUAAAUUUUUUUGUUUUAAUUUCUGCGUCGUACACUGGUAUAUAAUUACGUUGCUUUUUUAUCACGGUCCACUGCGUGUUGUAUAGAUAUAAAAUAGUCGCGUGCCCUGCUGAUAACAUCCAGGAAUUAACUAUUUAGUUUUACAUUAUAUUCGGGUAAUACGAGAGUUGUUCUUAAAGAUGCUCCAAAUAGUAGCACAAGUUUGUUCUUUUCUAUGCAUUUUUCAUAACUUGCCGACAUUGUGGGAGAACCAUUCUUACAUCAGAUUGUAAGUAUUGAAUUUAUUUAUCAUUUUCAUAAAUAACUUUAGUAAAUUGCUCAUUAAUUAGCAAUGAAAAUUGAAUUUUUGUGUUUCGAAGGACUGAUUUUUGCUUGUUUUAGGUGUUUUGCACCUUAGGCCGACAUCGUAGGAGAACCAUUCUUGCAUCAGAUUGUGUUUUGCACCUGAGGCCGAUAUCGUAGAAGAACCAUUCUUGCAUCAGAUUGUGUUUUGCACCUGAGGCCGAUAUCGUAGAAGAGCCAUUUUUGCAUCAGAUUGUGUUUUGCACCUGAGGCCGAUAUCGUAGGAGAACCAUUCUUGCAUCAGAUGGUAAGUAUUGAAUUUAUUUAUCAUUUUCAUAAAUAAUUUUAGUGAUUAGCUCUUUAAUUAGCAACAAAAAUGGCAUUCUUGUAAUGUGAUUGACAAAUUUCCCCCUUAUAUGACAAUUUUCAAUGUUUUAAUCGUAUAUUAUUAUAGUUUCCCCACAGCGUCGUUCUAGUGCCUGCUCCCGAAACUAGAUGGCGCUAGGUAUUGUUCACACUCCUUUCUAAAUUAGUUUGAGUUGCCGCUGCUAGAUGGCAUUAGGGUUAUGGUACAUUAUUCUGUAAAUUACUUUGGGUGGUCGAUACUAGAUGGCGCAAGUAUCGGAUUCAUCCGGAUAGCAAUCAAAAUCAAUAUUUUCCACUUAGUCUAUCCUGAGCAGUUAUUUUAAAUUCCGCGGUAUUUAGUUAUACUGUCGAAAAGCAAACAAUUUAGUUAGCGUCAUGCUUAGUAUCAUGUGCCCUCGUGUGUUUGUCGGCCGUCGGAUCAUUUUCUGUGGCUUCGAUUUCUAGGAAUAGGUUUCAUUAAUCAAAAUUGUUCAAGUAUUAAUUCGUGAAAAUAAACCGUUUGUGUUCCGCCUGUGGAAAAAUUGUUAGAGCAAAAAUACUAAAGUGAGUAAUUUCUAACAAUUUGCCGAAACGUCUUUGUGCACUUUAGUACUUUCUGGAUGAAUGAACAAAAUAGUUGACUUAAUGUUAUGUAUAAAGUAAAAUUUGCUUCUGUUUAAUUUUUUAGUUUUUACAGUUGCAAUUGCAUUGCCAUAAUAAUUAAUGUAUAUGAUUCCGACAAUAAAGGAUAAUUUUUGCGAAUUAAAAAUGAUUUCAUGAAGUCACAAAUCACAGCGAAUCUGAUUUGUGUUUGUUUUUAGAUGUCGAGGAGUUGAACGUGACCUCGGUGUACAAUCGUGCUCGUAUUCAAUUGUGAGUAUCGAAAUUCUUAUCAUUUUCAUAUCUGCUUUGUUCACGUAGCCUGCUAUAUCUUUUCCUUGUUUAGUCGAUCGUGCGAUGUUGUUCGAUGCACACGUGUUUUGUUCACAAGUCGAUCUUCGUAACUAGUUUGCGAGUUUCUUGUGAUUUUAAGUUGGUAGUUGAAUUAUAAUCGAUCAGCAAAGGUAACAAUUAGAAUCAACGGACUAGUGCGGCGGGUAGUUAAUGAAUUAUCACGGGUGGAAGUCAGAAUUGUGUAGUUUUAUAAUGUGCGCACGUUUUUGCCGUUGGCCGUCGGAUAUCUUACGUUGGCUAAGAAGUCCGUCCUAGUGGUUUUAUUUGCGUAAUGAUAUUAAUUUGUGAAACUAAACACUGUUUGUCCCCGUGUGGAACAUUUUAAUCGAGAAAGUGCACGUAGAUAACUGCAACAUUAUCAUUCGACGAAUUAAACAAUUAGUGAAGAUAUUUCAUGGACGAAAUGAAUUUAUCAGUCGUUAAGGAAAAGCGAGGUAACCGUUGAAUAAGUAAAUACUUUGAAAAUAAGUCAAUUUUAACAUAUAAUUUUAAAAUUCAACAUGUACUCUUCUGAUUGUAUGAGUUGCAAUAAACUAUACUUACAUUUA